rnacentral:rRNA from 1 species
UACAGAGGUCUCAAGCGUUGUUCGGAUUCAUUGGGCGUAAAGCGCGCGUAGGCAGCAGCGUGUGUCGGGCGUGAAAUCCCAUGGCUCAACCAUGGAAGUGCACUCGAAACUGCGCAGCUAGAGUCUCGGAGAGGAAGGCGGAAUGCUUGGUGUAGAGGUGAAAUUCGUAGAUAUCAAGCGGAACACCGGUGGCGAAGGCGGCCUUCUGGACGAUGACUGACGCUGAAGCGCGAAAGCGUGGGGAGCAAACAGG